rnacentral:rRNA from 1 species
CCUACGGGAGGCAGCAGUGAGGAAUAUUGGUCAAUGGGCGAGAGCCUGAACCAGCCAAGUCGCGUGAAGGAUGACGGCCCUACGGGUUGUAAACUUCUUUUGUCAGGGAGCAAUUGGGUCCACGCGUGGCCGUAGCGAGAGUACCUGAAGAAAAAGCAUCGGCAAACACCGUGCCAGCAGCCGCGGUAAUACGGAGUAUGCGAGCGUUAUCCGGAUUUAUUGGGUUAAAAGGGUGCGUAGGCGGAAUAUCAAGUCAGGGGUAAAAAUUCGGGGCUCAACGCCGUCGUGCCGUUGAUACUAAUGUGCUUGAGGGGGCGAGAAGUAUGCGGAAUGCGUGGUGUAGCGGUGAAAUGCAUAGAUAUCACACAGAACUCCGAUUGCGAAGGCAGCAUACCGGCGCCCAACUGACGCUGAAGCACGAAAGCGUGGGUAUCGAACAGGAUUAGAUACCCCUGUAGUC